GACGGACGCUGGCGGCGUGCUUAACACAUGCAAGUCGAACGAUGAAGCCGGAGCUUGCUCUGGUGAAUUAGUGGCGAACGGGUGAGUAACACGUGAGUAACCUGCCCUUGACUCUGGGAUAACUGCGGGAAACUGUAGCUAAUACCGGAUACGACCCUCGGAGGCAUCUCCUGGGGGUGGAAAGAAUUUCGGUCAAGGAUGGACUCGCGGCCUACCAGCUAGUUGGUGAGGUAAAGGCUCACCAAGGCGACGACGGGUAGCCGGCCUGAGAGGGUGACCGGCCACACUGGGACUGAGACACGGCCCAGACUCCUACGGGAGGCAGCAGUGGGGAAUAUUGCACAAUGGGCGCAAGCCUGAUGCAGCAACGCCGCGUGAGGGAUGACGGCCUUCGGGUUGUAAACCUCUUUUAGCAGGGAAGAAGCGAAAGUGACGGUACCUGCAGAAAAAGCACCGGCUAACUACGUGCCAGCAGCCGCAGUAA
rnacentral:rRNA from 1 species